AACGAACGCUGGCGGCGUGCCUGAGACAUGCAAGUCGUGGGAGAAAGUCGGAGCAAUCCGGCUAGUAAACCGGCGCACGGGUGAGUAACACGUGGACAACCUGCCUUGGAGUUCGGGAUAACCCGGUCGAAAGACGGACUAAUACCGGAUAUGACCACGGGGAGUUCGCUCUCUGAGGUAAAAGAUGGCCUCUGCUCCUGCAAGCUAUCUCUUCGAGAGGGGUCCNCGUCCAUCAGCUAGUUGGUGAGGUAACGGCUCACCAAGGCUAAGACGGGUAGCUGGU
rnacentral:rRNA from 1 species